UACGUAGGGUGCGAGCGUUAAUCGGAAUUACUGGGCGUAAAGCGUGCGCAGGCGGUUUUGUAAGACAGAGGUGGAAUCCCCGGGCUCAACCUGGGAACUGCCUUUGUGACUGCAAGGCUUGAGUGCGGCAGAGGGGGAUGGAAUUCCGCGUGUAGCAGUGAAAUGCGUAGAUAUGCGGAGGAACACCGAUGGCGAAGGCAAUCCCCUGGGCCUGCACUGACGCUCAUGCACGAAAGCGUGGGGAGCAAACAGG
rnacentral:rRNA from 1 species